AGGGCAUUUGGAAGUUCAACAAAUUGGUGUUUGGGGAUUCUUCACAAAAUAUAUGAAAACGGAAAGUAUCAAAAAAGCAAUUAUAAAGACAAAUUUUCCCCUAUCCCUUGGGCGGGCCAUAAGGAAAGAAAUUGGAUUAAACUGUCAAAGAUCUCGGGGACACGUUAAAGAAAGCACAGCGCGGGCUCAUCGUAUUUAUCACUUCACAGCUGCAACUAUGAUCGAUAUUAAUUCAAGAUGGCCGCCGGCUCGGGCUGGCGGGAAACGAACGCGUACGCACCCACUUGCACUACAAUAUUAAACACAACGAAAUAACAUUUUAACAUGUUAAAACACAAAAUGUAACAAACGUGCACUCGGCCACGAGCUUUUUGCUGCACUAAAUAUUUCAAAAAACCUUAAACGUAUUCAAAACUUGAACGCCAUAAAACAUAUCUCCCCCAUUAUUAGUUUAUGGCGACUGUUGGAGCUAUUAUGUUGUUAUUUUUGUGUGUACUGUGUUUGUUUUGAUUGUGUGCGGUGGAUGGGCCAAUUUGGGGAACCAUUACCGAAACUAUUGACGUACAACGUCCUUUAUUAACUGUUCUAUUGACUUGAAACGUCUUGUUGGUUUUACUUACUGUUUGUUCUAUAUAAUGUAUGUUUCAUAUGUAGGAGUUGCUUCGUAAUAUGAAAAUUGUAAAAACAAAAUACUUAGGUAUUGUAAGUACGAAUGUAAAACGUAACAUUUGCAUUUAAAACACAUUAAUAACAUUAUGUGGAGCAUUCUUCUGACAGGCCACAUGACUCACAAUGCGUUAGAAUGCACUCUAUAGGAAUCAAAGAUUUAGUGUUUACGACGGAUGUUUACAAACUAACCGAAUUAUGUAUUAUAAGAAUUUUUAAAUUAAAUAAAACUGUUUUUUUUUUUAACAAAACGAUCUACUUAUCUUGGAAUUAAUUUAUAUUCAUCGAAAGGAGGUUGUAUAUUAAUAUAAAAUAGCACUCAUCGAAUGUUGUGUUACCUGUAUUUUUUGUUGACAAACUAGUCUGUUUGAAUAGUAAUAUGUUGCAUAGUGUUUGUACAUCUAAGAUAUAUUUCUUUCGUAUGUUUUAUUUAAAUGAUUACUUGUAUUGUAAUAUCAGUAUUUAAGUGUAUAUUUUGAAAGUGUUAUAAUUUUUAUCAAAUUAAUAUUGCGAGUUUAUGAAUAAAAUCUAUUUUAUUAAUUUCAGUAUAGAUACGGUAUUUCUAAAUUGACAUUAAGACAUUCUACACUGAAGUUAUUUCCUCACAACACCAUUGCAAUGCUAAUGCAAUGGAAAAUAUGUUAUAGCGAAUAACUAUACAUAUAAUAUUUCUUAAAAUGUAACAGGUUUUAUUGUAUACAAAAAAAUAAAUGGCAUAUCCAAAAGUAAAAGUCCGAAUAUGUAA